UCCCGUUGAUCCUGCGGGAGGUUGCUGCUAUUUGGGUUCGAUUUAGCCAUGCAAGUCUCCUAUUUAUUUAGGGGCAAAAUGCUCAGUAACACGUCGAUAAUCUGCCCUCAAGCGGAGGAUAACCUCGGGAAACUGAGGCUAAUACUCCAUAUUUGAGAUAUACUGGAAUGUAAUCUCAUUGAAACUUUUGGUUUGAGGAUGAGUCGGCGGCGGAUUAGGCUGUUGGCGGUGUAAUGGACCACCAAACCUGAGAUCCGUACGGGCCUUGAGAGAGGUAGCCCGGAGAGGAACACUGAGAUACUGGUUCCAGCCCUACGGGGUGCAGCAGGCGCGAAACCUCUACAAUGCACGAAAGUGUGAUAGGGGAACCCAAAGUGCUUACGCUUUGCGUUGGCUUUUGCCAAGAGUAAAUAUCUUGGAGAAUAAGUGGUGGGUAAGACUGGUGCCAGCCGCCGCGGUAACACCAGCGCCACAAGUGGCAACCACGAUUAUUGGGCCUAAAGCGUCCGUAGCAGGAAUUAUAAAUCCUUUGUGAAAUCGUUGCGCUCAACGCAACGGCGUGCAGGGGAGACUGUAAUUCUCGAGACCGGGAGGAGUCAGAAGUAUUCUGGGGGGAGCGGUAAAAUGUUAUAAUCCCCGGAGGACUACCUGUGGCGAAGGCGUCUGACUAGAACGGAUCUGACUGUGAGGGACGAAAGCCAGGGGAGCAAACCGGAUUAGAUACCCGAGUAGUCCUGGCCGUAAACGCUGCGAGCUAGGUAUUGCAUAUUCUACAUGAAUAUGCAGAAUCGAAGCGAAGGUGAUAAGCUCGCCGCCUGGGAAGUACGGUCGCAAGGCUGAAACUUUAAGGAAUUGGCGGGGAAUCACUACAAGGGGUGGAGCGUGCGGUUUAAUCUAACUCAACGCAGAGAAUCUCACUAGAGGCGAUGGCAGAAUGACGGUCAGUCUGAAGGGCUUACCUGACAGGCCAAGAGGUGGUGCAUGGCCGCCGUCAGCUCGUGCCGUGAGGUGUCCAGUUAAGUCUGGCAACGAGCGAGACCUGCAUCCGCUAUUGCUAACGACCAUUUUUGGGAUCGAGCACAUUGCGGGGACUGCCUUGGAAACAAGGAGGAAGGUGCAGGCUACGGUAGGUCUGUAUGCCCCGAAUCCUCUAGGCGACACGCGCGCAACAAUGGUUGGGACAAUAGGUCGCGACCCCGAAAGGGGAAGCUAAUCCACUAAACCCAAUCUUAGUCCAGAUUGAGCUUUGUAACCCAGGCUCAUGACGCCGGAAUCCCUAGUAAUCAGGUAUUAGCAUUGCCUGGUGAAUACGUCCCUGGUUCUUGCUCACACCGCCCGUCAAACCAACCUAGCAGGGUCUGGAUAAAACCUAUUUUUUUGAGUAUGUUGAAUCCAGGCUCAGUGAGGUGGGUUAAGUCGUCACAAGGUA
rnacentral:rRNA from 1 species